AGUGAAAUGGAGAUUUUAUUGAUCCUAAAGCAUGUUUGCUUAUGACAGGGCAGAAGAAGGAAAAAAGAAGAAGGAAACAACUUGGGCUAAUGUUCAACAACAAUGCUGAUGCUGCUACAGAGGUGUGCAUACAUCCCAAAGCUGUCAACGAGUGGCAGGGGGUGGCAGUGCCUGUCACAUCUCUGCUUUUGGAAAAGAUCCGAGCCCUGAUGGCACAGCCACACUGCAGUUUCCAUGGCAGAUCUCAGGCAAGAUAUUCCCCGGGAGAGUUUUUGAUGUCACCAUUUUUCAGGUGAGUUCCAUGGUGAUGAUCACAGCUUGUGUU
rnacentral:lncRNA from 1 species